rnacentral:rRNA from 1 species
GAUGAACGCUGGCGGCGUGCUUAACACAUGCAGGUCGAACGAUGAAGCCCAGCUUGCUGGGUGGAUUAGUGGCGAACGGGUGAGUAACACGUGAGUAACCUGCCCUUAACUCUGGGAUAAGCCUGGGAAACUGGGUCUAAUACCGGAUAGGAGCGUCCACCGCAUGGUGGGUGUUGGAAAGAUUUAUCGGUUUUGGAUGGACUCGCGGCCUAUCAGCUUGUUGGUGAGGUAAUGGCUCACCAAGGCGACGACGGGUAGCCGGCCUGAGAGGGUGACCGGCCACACUGGGACUGAGACACGGCCCAGACUCCUACGGGAGGCAGCAGUGGGGAAUAUUGCACAAUGGGCGCAAGCCUGAUGCAGCGACGCCGCGUGAGGGAUGACGGCCUUCGGGUUGUAAACCUCUUUCAGUAGGGAAGAAGCGAAAGUGACGGUACCUGCAGAAGAAGCACCGGCUAACUACGUG